AGCUUCCUUGUUGACUACAAAUCAAGCUCACAGUUUCGGAAUAACUAGUGAAGCGGUAGCGGUUUUUGCUUGUUGUUUCGGUGGCAUCUUUUACCACAUGUAUACACCGCGUGUCAAGUUUGUCGAGUCAAAGGGCACUACCGCUUGCGUCACCUGCAAGCUCAAGCGCUGUUGGAUUUUUGUGGGGACGAUGACGACUUCCUUUGGACGGCGAGUUGCAACUGCAGAGUUCCGUUCCCUCGGAACUGCCAGAUUUCAGGGUGAAUGGUCUAUGCGCGAUGUCCUAGCGGUGACAAGUUGUUUUCUCGAUGAUGGGAUAGGACAGUUAUGGGAAAAAUGCUGCAGAUCAUUAAUUCAGUACACAGGUAGCGUAUCACAGUUGAUAAGAACAGUACAAUGUUGUUCUUGCUGGGGGCAGUCACAGUAUCUCUGCAAGCGUUGAGGUGAGCAGGAAAGGGCUGACUGUGUCCAGUCUGUACGUGUGCCGAGAUGGACUACGAAUGAGCCAACGUCGAGAUCUGUUAAAAUACCGAAUCCGGCAGAGCAGCCGCUUUGUUUUUUAUCCGUACCAAUGGCGAGCCCUACUGCUACAUUUCUGCCCACCCGAGAGCUCGCCUCGCGAGCUUAAAAGCUGUUCUAUCGUCGUGUAUGGUGUGCAACUCUUACACCGACGAUGCACGAAGGUGCAACUAUCGCGAGCUUGCGUGGUUUUGUGAAAAACACCUCAGAUGGGACUGAAC
rnacentral:lncRNA from 1 species